CUCAGCAGCCCUUCGUCGCGGCUUCUCUCUCGUGCUCUGUGAGCUCCGGACUCCGGUGUUCAAACUUUCCUCAGAGGAGACGGAUGAUUCAACAUCUCGCAGGUAAAGCACAACCAACGACUCUAACCGACCCGGUUCCGUUGCCUCCUGACCCCUGAAGCGGGAUUCUUUGCCUUCUCGCCUCCGGCUCCGGUGCGGGACCUGUCUCGGUGCGCACCGGAUCAGAAAUGGACCGCGGAACGCGUCCGGCGACCAACUGAAAGGAGUCCAGCCCCGAGAAGGAAGCACCGUGCGCCUUUUCUCCUCGAGCCCAAACAUCAGCGGAGACUCGAGGACACGGACACACUGUAGCGGACACCCAAGAAGGAUGUAGCUCUUCAGAUAAAACACAACGCGGGGGGCGGGACAGACAUCACAAACUGCCGGGACGCGCGAGGAUCGGUCGGACGUGCACGCGGACCUGAAACUCCGUCGGAGGUUGGAUGCAGCGCUGACAAAGGAGGCCUUUUUUCCACCUGGAGACAAGGCAGAUGGACGGCGCUGAUCCCUCUCUCCGGAGGUGUGGAGUGACAGAUGACCCGGGGAUUGAUGCGGCGGGAGAGCGAGGGAGCGCCGGAGAGGGUCGCCGCCGCCGGUAAUGGGAAACAGCUGCAAAGGUCAAGCGCAUCGAUCGGGAGGCGGGUAGAAAUUGAACUCCUCCUCAAGUCGGACCUGAGAAAAGAAACUGGCCCUCGGACUCAUUCAAUCGCCGCAGAAAGACUUCCAGCUGAGAGCAUCGAAUCCGAUCGAUGCUCCCCCGCCAACCAGUGACAGGAGAUCUGACGCCCGCCGCAGGCCGCCGCCAUGCAUGUGAGGAACCCCAGACCACAGCCUCUGGAAGUCUUGGUUCCACCGACAGGUGGCUGUGAGCAGCAGGCGGCGCUCUGAGACGGAGAGAAGUCCUCGCCGAUGAUUCGCUGGCAGGAACGAGACGUAACCAGACGCCACUGGGAUGCAAUAGAAAGUAAACACUCCCCUCUUCCCUGUCGCUCCCCAUCCCCAAAGACGCUUCCUCCCUGACC